CCUACGGGAUGCAGCAGUGGGGAAUAUUGGACAAUGGGCGAAAGCCUGAUCCAGCCAUGCCGCGUGUGUGAAGAAGGCCUUCGGGUUGUAAAGCACUUUCAGUGGGGAAGAAAGCCUUGGGGCUAAUACCCUCGAGGAAGGACAUCACCCACAGAAGAAGCACCGGCUAACUCCGUGCCAGCAGCCGCGGUAAUACGGAGGGUGCGAGCGUUAAUCGGAAUUACUGGGCGUAAAGCGCGCGUAGGCGGUCUGAUAAGCCGGUUGUGAAAGCCCCGGGCUCAACCUGGGAACGGCAUCCGGAACUGUCAGGCUAGAGUGCAGGGGAGGAAGGUAGAAUUCCCGGUGUAGCGGUGAAAUGCGUAGAGAUCGGGAGGAAUACCAGUGGCGAAGGCGGCCUUCUGGACUGACACUGACGCUGAGGUGCGAAAGCGUGGGUAGCAAACAGGAUUAGAUACCCCGGUAGUC
rnacentral:rRNA from 1 species